CCUAGCUGAGCUGGCUCGUUUCUCAUGUGAACAUAAAUUGAAUUUUCUACGUUGGCAACGAGAGGCAAGUUGCAUGAAAUGCGCACCGUACAUGCAGUAACACUGACCUUUCAGGGAAAACUCAUAUCUAACUUCCGCUCAUGCGCAGUAUGUUUGUUUUUUCAGGGACCUCCCCCUUUCUUGCAUGUCAAGUUGCAAAGGAUCGAGAUAUUUUUUUCAGGAACAACCUUUAAAACGAAGAAAAAAGCAAGUUACACGCGAUGUUCGGCUCGCACAAACCGAAAAUCUAUCGUUCCAGUAGCGGUUGUUGCAUUUGUGGCUCGAAAUCGUCGAGUUCCCGUUUUACUCCGACGGAAAAAUACGAAAAUCUUUUCACCGCUUGCUUCGAGGUCGAGCAAGGUUCCCGAACGGGCCUGAUUUGUAAUGCUUGCGUUUUGUUGGUGAAACGUUGGCAAAAACUACCCGAGGAAAACAAGCGAUCGUGGAGCCAUGU
rnacentral:lncRNA from 1 species